rnacentral:rRNA from 1 species
GAUGAACGCUGGCGGCGUGCUUAACACAUGCAAGUCGAACGGAAAGGCUCCUGCCUGCAGGGGUACUCGAGUGGCGAACGGGUGAGUAACACGUGGGUAAUCUGCCCUGUACUUCGGGAUAAGCUUGGGAAACUGGGUCUAAUACCGGAUAUGACAAUCUCUUGGAUGGGGUUGUGGAAAGCUUUUGCGGUAUGGGAUGAGCUCGCGGCCUAUCAGCUUGUUGGUGGGGUAAUGGCCUACCAAGGCGUCGACGGGUAGCCGGCCUGAGAGGGUGUACGGCCACAUUGGGACUGAGAUACGGCCCAGACUCCUACGGGAGGCAGCAGUGGGGAAUAUUGCACAAUGGGCGCAAGCCUGAUGCAGCGACGCCGCGUGGGGGAUGACGGCCUUCGGGUUGUAAACUCCUUUCGCAACCGACGAAGCUUUUGUGACGGUAGGUUGAGAAGAAGCACCGGCUAACUACGUG